rnacentral:rRNA from 1 species
GAUGAACGCUGGCGGCGUGCUUAAGACAUGCAAGUCGAACGAUGAAGCCCAGCUUGCUGGGUGGAUUAGUGGCGAACGGGUGAGUAACACGUGAGUAACCUGCCCUUGACUCUAGGAUAAGCCCGGGAAACUGGGUCUAAUACUGGAUAGGAACGUCUACCGCAUGGUGGGUGUUGGAAAGAAUUUCGGUCAUGGAUGGACUCGCGGCCUAUCAGCUUGUUGGUGAGGUAAUGGCUCACCAAGGCGACGACGGGUAGCCGGCCUGAGAGGGUGACCGGCCACACUGGGACUGAGACACGGCCCAGACUCCUACGGGAGGCAGCAGUGGGGAAUAUUGCACAAUGGGCGAAAGCCUGAUGCAGCGACGCCGCGUGAGGGAUGACGGCCUUCGUGUUGUAAACCUCUUUCAGUAGGGAAGAAGCGAAAGUGACGGUACCUGCAGAAGAAGCACCGGCUAACUACGUG